UGCUAUAUCCUGACUUCACAUGUCGUAUAUAUGUUAUAAUUUUACAUGUAACAUAUACGUUGUAUCUAUAUAAGACAAAAAUCACAUAUAUUUGAGAUAGAUAGCCUGAGUUUUCUGUAAUGGCUAGGCUCUGACCAGGCAGUUUAAUUUCCACCUCUGAGUAAGGAGGGGUGCCCAGCAGAGUACUCCAGUUUUAGCCUUCCUUCUUCAAAAGUUCCCGAACUCCAGACACACCCUCAGGGCAGAUUUGCUGGCGACUUCUGUGGAAGACCAGCCCUUUCCUUCCUGCGUCUCUUCCAGGCUCCUCCUGGACACACUUGUCAUGAGCAGUGGCAGCAGUCACGGAGCAGCCAGCCACACUCUGCCCUGGACUGCAGGCCAUCUGCCCAGCAGUCAGCCAGGCCUACGGAAACACGGCUGUGUCACCAUCCUAGAGGCAAGGCUGGCAUUUGUAAGAAAGUUAGAUCCCCAAGCUCAGUGAAACCUACUGUGGAGGGAAGAAUUGUGUAUCAUAAUUGGCUUUAGAUUUUUCUGUUGAAAAAACAAUAAUCCAUAAAAAUAAGCUCCAGUUAUACCACUAGUGUGGGUUUUCUUGCUAAAAUUUGAAACCCAGCCAAAUAAUAGUUUAUUAUUUAAAUAAAAUUCUCUUUCUUCACAUGCUGAAGUAAUCACAAAGUGAUAAAAUGACUGAUUUGCUUCAAAAUUAUCCAAGACCCCAAUUACACCGAUUUUAUCUUUACAAAUUAUAUGAAUAUGUUAAAUUUUCACACGUACCACAAAAAUAUGUACAUUUCCUAUGCCUCAAUUUAAAAAAUUAUCCAAGAGGAGUGAAGAUGAAACAUGAUAGGCCAUGUAUUGAUAAUAUUGAAACAGACCUAAUUUAUGAACAUUUCUUUCCUCUUAUGCAUAUGCUUACAAUUUUUUCAGAGCAAAAGUUAAUUUUCUCUUCUAGUCUGAAAUUGGUCCAAAGUGAAUUUCAGGAUCUGAGCCUGAGGCUACAGAGAAAAGGCGGGAUAAUGAAUGUAACCUGUUGGCCAGAGCUUUGGUUUCACUGAUAGGAAGACAUAUGUCCUCCCCGUGAGUUUCUAGCAAAUUGUGUGUGCGUGUGAUGAAGAGGCAUGAAGAGGUGUAAAGCAAUCAGAGAGGAAACAAAUCCUAGUUGAUAUGGAAAGCCUGCUGCAGAAAGAAGUAGCACGGAGAAGUAAAAAACAUAUAAACAAUGCAGCUGAAGAAAAAGAACAGGAAAACCCUUUGAAAGGAAAAAUCCAGAAAAUUACUAUCUAUAUGAUGGAGAGGAGGAAAAUAAAUCACUUUUCUUUUUCAUUUUAUUUGUUGAAAAUUAAAUAAAUU
rnacentral:lncRNA from 1 species